CAGAAUGUCUAUAUUUCAUGUCCAUGGUGAAAUUUAUCAGAAGCUCAAAAGAAUACAGUAGUCAUUACCUUGUUUGGAGCCAUACUCCAGUUACUUGUCUUGUACAGUCAAGUUUCCUCACCUACUGAGUUGAUGCAAUUCGUUGCUUCUGGUGGAUAUUGGACGCUGCCUUGAAAAAGAAGCCAUUGCUCAGACAGAAGAGAGAUCCAGAGGACGCCAAGAGACCCUGUGGAGACAGUGGAAGUGUAUGUAAGACUUAAGUCAGUAUGGUGCUCUGAAGUCUAGGUAGAGGGUACCAACAAGUAUCAGAGAAUAAAUCACAACUGCCAAGAACCAGGAGGGAAAGCUUAGUGAGCAAGGAGAAUUUGGCUGAUUGUCCUUCAACAGCAAAUGAAGAACCAGGAGAGAAACUCUAUGCCAACCAGAGCUGAAGAAGUAGGAGGCACGAAGUUUAACUAGUGUUACUGUGGAUUCAGUGAUGCCAAGUUCACCAUCCCUGCCUUACGUGGCUCUGAAAUACCCCAAACCGUGCAUUUCUCAGAAGAGAGGCAUUUUUGCUUUCGCUUCACUUGAACAAUCUCACUAAAAGCCCGCAAUUAAAAUAUCAUACAGGAGGAAUGACAUCGAGACGGCGAUGUAGGUUAUUCCUGACUUUACUCUCCCUACAAAAAUGGACAACGAAUAUCUAUUCAAGGACAAGACUCCGUGGGAGACUCCUAGAACGUGGGAGUAAGGCUAAAGCAUCCCCAUGUACCACAGAAGGGGCUACGCACUGAGCACAUUGUCUCUCCCUCAGGACAGCACCUGGAAGAGGUCUCCCCCAUGGCCCCUGUUACCAGACCUCACACCACAAGGGAUGUGGGAAGCCCAGCCCCUGGGAGUCCCAUGAUAAUAAAGAGCCCGCAACAACCAACCCACGGACCUUGACAGACCAAAUUCUUACCUGUGGGGACGAAAGAGCAAUCCCACCCCAACCAGCAGCUUUGGUUUUUGGCACAACCAAGUCAGGGGUACACUCCAGCCGGGGAACUUGGCGGGGUGCAGAUCUUCAAAUGAAGAGUUUUGCUAGCACUGCAGCCUGGUAGACCCAGGCCCAGACAAGGUGCUGAGUCACAGCCCAACCAGCUGAGGAGAGUGGCUUCCUGUCCCAUCUGACCUGAAGGGCUAGUGGAAAACUGAAAGCUGUACAGCCCAGUGGAGAAGGGCAGACAGAAUCAACGGUUUGCCGAGCGAAGCCAGUGGCCCUGUCUGCCGGGGAACCGGGGGCAUGGGUCAGCCUGAGUUAAGAAAACAUCCUCAUGGGUCUUAGAGCGGCUUCUCCCACUGCGCCUGGGCCAGAAGUCGAAUUUGUAGCCUCACUCGUGGCUGAAUGUAGGCUUGAGCCUGUUUAACCGGCAAACCUAACCAGGGCUCAAAGGAAGCCGUAAAGUGUAUUCAACAACCUUAGGUACAGUAGCAUCUGAACAGAGAGAGUGGCCCGCGAUUUCCCCCAUCUGCGGAGUAAAUAGGUGGCCUAUCCCGACGAGGAAAUUUAAUAUACACAUUCAGGCCUGAUUUGGACUCCCAAACAAUAAGCCAUGCAGGGCCCUGGUAGGCUGCCCCGUCAGGGCAGGGAAGCUAAUUUGUGGCAUCAUCUUCUUCUGAAUAUAGCACCAAGUCUCGACCAUUUAGGAAGCCUCGCCAGAAAACUCCUACAACCGUGGAGCCCAUCCUAUAGCCUCAAGUGCAUAGGGAACCAAGCCACAGUCCUCUCCAGUAGUUCUCAUCCCGUGGCACAUACUCCCAUCCUCUGAGCUUAAACAGUUGCUGCGCCCGAAAACAGACAAUACUAGCAGGCCUCACCUGCCUAGAACCCUUACAAGCAUACCUCGGAGAUAACGCAGGUUCAGUUCCAGACCACCACAAUAAAGUGAA